AAUUCUCAACUCUCAAGUUUCUUAGGAAACUUGGUGAGCUUGGAUUUGGAGGUUGUGCAGGCUUUUAACAAGUCUGCUCCUCUGAAAUGUAUUAGUGUGAAUCUUACAGAUCGCCUUCAGUGUGAUAAUUGUCUACGCUGUGGUGUGAAGUAUUCAUGUGUUCAUGCUUCUAAUUGUCUUUAUUGACAAUCUUUGAC
rnacentral:misc_RNA from 1 species